AGUCGAACGGCAGCACGGGCUCCGGCCUGGUGGCGAGUGGCGAACGGGUGAGUAAUACAUCGGAACGUGCCCUGUAGUGGGGGAUAACUAGUCGAAAGAUUAGCUAAUACCGCAUACGACCUGAGGGUGAAAGCGGGGGACCGCAAGGCCUCGCGCUACAGGAGCGGCCGAUGUCUGAUUAGCUAGUUGGUGGGGUAAGAGCCUACCAAGGCGACGAUCAGUAGCUGGUCUGAGAGGACGAUCAGCCACACUGGGACUGAGACACGGCCCAGACUCCUACGGGAGGCAGCAGUGGGGAAUUUUGGACAAUGGGGGCAACCCUGAUCCAGCAAUGCCGCGUGUGUGAAGAAGGCCUUCGGGUUGUAAAGCACUUUUGUCCGGAAAGAAAUGGCCUGGGUGAAUACCCCGGGUCGAUGACGGUACCGGAAGAAUAAGCACCGGCUAACUACGUGCCAGCAGCCGCGGUAAUACGUAGGGUGCGAGCGUUAAUCGGAAUUACUGGGCGUAAAGCGUGCGCAGGCGGUUUUGUAAGACAGGCGUGAAAUCCCCGAGCUUAACUUGGGAAUGGCGCUUGUGACUGCAAGGCUAGAGUAUGUCAGAGGGGGGUAGAAUUCCACGUGUAGCAGUGAGAUGCGUAGAGAUGUGGAGGAAUACCGAUGGCGAAGGCAGCCCCCUGGGACGUCACUGACGCUCAUGCACGAAAGCGUGGGGAGCAAACAGGAUUAGAUACCCUGGUAGUCCACGCCCUAAACGAUGUCAACUAGUUGUUGGGGAUUCAUUUCUUCAGUAACGUAGCUAACGCGUGAAGUUGACCGCCUGGGGAGUACGGUCGCAAGAUUAAAACUCAAAGGAAUUGGCGGGGACCCGCACAAGCGGUGGAUGAUG
rnacentral:rRNA from 1 species